UACAGAGGUCCCAAGCGUUGUUCGGAUUCAUUGGGCGUAAAGGGUGCGUAGGUGGCGCCGUAAGUCGGGUGUGAAAUUUCGAGGCUUAACCUCGAAACUGCAUUCGAUACUGCGGUGCUUGAGGACUGGAGAGGAGACUGGAAUUCAUGGUGUAGCAGUGAAAUGCGUAGAGAUCAUGAGGAAGACCAGUGGCGAAGGCGGGUCUCUGGACAGUUCCUGACACUGAGGCACGAAGGCCAGGGGAGCAAACGGG
rnacentral:rRNA from 1 species